GACAGAGGGGGCGAGCGUUGUCCGGAGUCACUGGGCGUAAAGCGCGCGCAGGCGGUCGGCAAAGUCUGGUGUGAAAGCCCACGGCUCAACCGUGGGAGGCCAUGGCAAACUGCUCGGCUGGAGUGGCGGAGAGGCAGCUGGAAUUCCUGGUGUAGCGGUGAAAUGCGUAGAGAUCGGCAAGAAGACCAAGGGGGAAGGCAGGGGUCUGGCCGCUGGCUGACGCUGAGGCGCGACAGCGUGGGGAGCGAACCGG
rnacentral:rRNA from 1 species